rnacentral:lncRNA from 1 species
ACUUCUUGAUAAAGAAGAUGAGAAAAUGAUCAAAGUGAUCAUAAUAAAUGAGGCAAGUGAUCUUGAAGGUCACGUGACAUAACACUUCAUAAAAUCUCAUGAAAGUUCCAGGUAUCUGAAUAUAUGAAUGAAGAGAUCUCCAUGUUAUGUCUUUAUGAAUAAUUAUUGGAAUUGAUAUAACAUGUUCGUCGAUGACAUCUAUCAUAGCGCUAAGUUUAGAUAAGGAUCUUAAGUCUAUCGAAUAUAGACACAUA